rnacentral:rRNA from 1 species
AAUGAACGCUGGCGGCGUGCUUAACACAUGCAAGUCGCACGAGAAAGCCUUGGCUUGCCAGGGCGAGUAAAGUGGCGCACGGGUGAGUAACGCGUGGGUAAUCUACCCCCGAAUUUGGGAUAACAGUUCGAAAGGAUUGCUAAUACCGGAUAACAUCAUUAUUUCUUCGGAGAUUUUGAUCAAAGGUGGCCUCUACAUGUAAGCUACUGUUUGGGGAUGAGCCCGCGUACCAUUAGCUAGUUGGUAGGGUAAAGGCCUACCAAGGCGACGAUGGUUAGCUGGUCUGAGAGGAUGAACGGCCGCACUGGAACUGACACACGGUCCAGACUCCUACGGGAGGCAGCAGUGAGGAAUUUUGCGCAAUGGGGGAAACCCUGUCGCAGCAACGCCGCGUGAGUGAUGAAGGCCUUCGGGUCGUAAAACUCUGUCAGGGGGAAAGAAGGCACCUGGGUUAAUAGCCCAAGGGCUGACGGUACCCCCAAAGGAAGCCACGGCUAACUACGUGCCAGCCGCCGCGUAAGAC